GGCGCAAGCCUGAUGCAGCGACGCCGCGUGCGGGAUGGAGGCCUUCGGGUUGUAAACCGCUUUUGAUCGGGAGCAAGCCCUUCGGGGCGAGUGUACCUUUCGAAUAAGCACCGGCUAACUACGUGCCAGCAGCCGCGAUAAUACGUAGGGUGCAAGCGUUAUCCGGAAUUAUUGGGCGUAAAGGGCUCGUAGGCGGUUCGUCGCGUCCGGUGUGAAAGCCCAUCGCUUAACGGUGGGUCUGCGCCGGGUACGGGCGGGCUGGAGUGCGGUAGGGGAGACUGGAAUUCCCGGUGUAACGGUGGAAUGUGUAGAUAUCGGGAAGAACACCAAUGGCGAAGGCAGGUCUCUGGGCCGUCACUGACGCUGAGGAGCGAAAGCGUGGGGAGCGAACAGGAUUAGAUACCCUGGUAGUCCACGCCGUAAACGGUGGAUGCUGGAUGUGGGGCCCGUUCCACGGGUUCCGUGUCGGAGCUAACGCGUUAAGCAUCCCGCCUGGGGAGUACGGCCGCAAGGCUAAAACUCAAAGAAAUUGACGGGGGCCCGCACAAGCGGCGGAGCAUGCGGAUUAAUUCGAUGCAACGCGAAGAACCUUACCUGGGCUUGACAUGUUCCCGACGGCCGUAGAGAUAUGGCCUCCCUUCGGG
rnacentral:rRNA from 1 species